GAACUUUAUAGGGACUGCCGGUGAUAAGCCGGAGGAAGGUGGGGAUGACGUCAAGUCCUCAUGGCCCUUAUGGGCUGGGCUACACACGUGCUACAAUGGUGGUGACAGAGGGUUGCAAAGUCGCGAGGCGGAGCUAAUCCCUAAAAGCCAUCUCAGUUCGGAUUGCACUCUGCAACUCGAGUGCAUGAAGUUGGAAUCGCUAGUAAUCGCGGAUCAGCAUGCCGCGGUGAAUACGUUCUCGGGCCUUGUACACACCGCCCGUCACACCAUGGGAGUUGGUUUUGCCUGAAGACGGUGAGCUAACCGUAAGGAGGCAGCCGGCCACGGUAGGGUCAGCGACUGGGGUGAAGUCGUAACAAGGUAGCCGUAGGGGAACCUGCGGCUGGAUCACCUCCUUUCUA
rnacentral:rRNA from 1 species